rnacentral:lncRNA from 1 species
UUGGCCAAUUUUUUAAUAUGUGUGACCCUUUGGAUUACUAUCUAGCUAGUAGUAGGUUCAGGUGCUAGUUAACCUAAUCCAAUUAGAUCACUUCUAAUCAAUUAAGGUCCAAACUAUGCUAACCCGCAUUGUCAAAUUAGAACCCUUUCUAAUUGACUCAUGAAUUAUUCACAUUAAUUCAUAAAAACCUACAAGGCAAGAUUGAUGUCAGCAACGUAUUAUGCCUACCCAGA